rnacentral:rRNA from 1 species
CUGCUAAUACCGCAUAUUUGCUACGGCACAAAGGGGGCUUCGUUUCUCGCCUUUAAAGAAGCCCAAUUGUUUUUAGGAAGUUGGUGAGGUAAAGGCUCACCAAGCCAACAAUCCCUAGCUGGUCUGAGAGGAUGAUCAGCCACACUGGAACUGAGACACGGUCCAAACUCCUACGGGAGGCAGCAGUGGGGAAUAUUGCACAAUGGGCGCAAGCCUGAUGCACCCAUGCCGCGUGCGUGAAGAAGGCCUUCGGGUUGUAAAGCACUUUCAGUCGUGAGGAAGGGUUAGUAGUUAAUACCUGCUAGCUUUGACUUUAGCGAC